GAUGAACGCUGGCGGCGUGCCUAAUACAUGCAAGUCGAGCGAACGGACGAGAAGCUUGCUUCUCUGAUGUUAGCGGCGGACGGGUGAGUAACACGUGGAUAACCUACCUAUAAGACUGGGAUAACUUCGGGAAACCGGAGCUAAUACCGGAUAAUAUUUUGAACCGCAUGGUUCAAAAGUGAAAGACGGUCUUGCUGUCACUUAUAGAUGGAUCCGCGCUGCAUUAGCUAGUUGGUAAGGUAACGGCUUACCAAGGCAACGAUGCAUAGCCGACCUGAGAGGGUGAUCGGCCACACUGGAACUGAGACACGGUCCAGACUCCUACGGGAGGCAGCAGUAGGGAAUCUUCCGCAAUGGGCGAAAGCCUGACGGAGCAACGCCGCGUGAGUGAUGAAGGUCUUCGGAUCGUAAAACUCUGUUAUUAGGGAAGAACAUAUGUGUAAGUAACUGUGCACAUCUUGACGGUACCUAAUCAGAAAGCCACGGCUAACUACGUGCCAGCAGCCGCGGUAAUACGUAGGUGGCAAGCGUUAUCCGGAAUUAUUGGGCGUAAAGCGCGCGUAGGCGGUUUUUUAAGUCUGAUGUGAAAGCCCACGGCUCAACCGUGGAGGGUCAUUGGAAACUGGAAAACUUGAGUGCAGAAGAGGAAAGUGGAAUUCCAUGUGUAGCGGUGAAAUGCGCAGAGAUAUGGAGGAACACCAGUGGCGAAGGCGACUUUCUGGUCUGUAACUGACGCUGAUGUGCGAAAGCGUGGGGAUCAAACAGGAUUAGAUACCCUGGUAGUCCACGCCGUAAACGAUGAGUGCUAAGUGUUAGGGGGUUUCCGCCCCUUAGUGCUGCAGCUAACGCAUUAAGCACUCCGCCUGGGGAGUACGACCGCAAGGUUGAAACUCAAAGGAAUUGACGGGGACCCGCACAAGCGGGGAGCAUGUGGUUUAAUUCGAAGCAACGCGAAGAGCCUUACCAAAUCUUGACAUCCUUUGACAACUCUAGAGAUAGAGCCUUCCCCUUCGGGGGACAAAGUGACAGGUGGUGCAUGGUUGUCGUCAGCUCGUGUCGUGAGAUGUUGGGUUAAGUCCCGCAACGAGCGCAACCCUUAAGCUUAGUUGCCAUCAUUAAGUUGGGCACUCUAAGUUGACUGCCGGUGACAAACCGGAGGAAGGUGGGGAUGACGUCAAAUCAUCAUGCCCCUUAUGAUUUGGGCUACACACGUGCUACAAUGGACAAUACAAAGGGCAGCGAAACCGCGAGGUCAAGCAAAUCCCAUAAAGUUGUUCUCAGUUCGGAUUGUAGUCUGCAACUCGACUACAUGAAGCUGGAAUCGCUAGUAAUCGUAGAUCAGCAUGCUACGGUGAAUACGUUCCCGGGUCU
rnacentral:rRNA from 1 species